GUCUGUGAUUAUACUUCCCUGAAUGCAACUGAUCUCAUCUGUUUACAGAAGCUGAACAUGGUAAAGCUAAUUAGCACUUGGAUAGGGGAACACUCUUCCCAAUAAUAGCAAGAUC
rnacentral:rRNA from 1 species